rnacentral:rRNA from 1 species
CUACGGGGCGCUGCAGGCGCGUAACCUCUACAAUGCACGAAAGUGUGAUAGGGGGAUCCUGAGUGCUCAGCUCUGCUGGGCUUUUGCCAAGAGUAAAAACCUUGGCGAAUAAGCGGUGGGUAAGACUGGUGCCAGCCGCCGCGGUAACACCAGCGCCGCAAGUGGUAAUCGCUAUUAUUGGGCCUAAAGCGUCCGUAGCAGGUUUUGUAAAUCUUAUGUGAAAUUGUUGCGCUUAACGUAACAACGUGCAUGAGACACUGCAAAACUUGGGACCGGGAGGAGUCAAAGGUAUUCCUUGGGGAGCGGUAAAAUGCUAUAAUCCAAGGAGGACCACCUAUGGCGAAGGCAUUUGACUAGAACGGAUCCGACUGUGAGGGACGAAAGCCAGGGGAGCGAACCGGAUUAGAUACCCCCGUAGUC